GAGAGCCGUAUGCAUUGAAAGGUGCCCGUACGGUUCGGGAAGGGGCGAGGUCUUUAGACUUCGCCUAUUUCAU
rfam:Clostridiales bacterium CHKCI006 isolate CHKC6 genome assembly, contig: {contig36}